rnacentral:lncRNA from 1 species
AGUUUGUUUCGAAUGUUGCACCUAAUUUAUUGACGAUUCAUUGUCUGUUUAUCAUUACUGAUGGCAAAUUCUUGUAGCGUUUUGUUUGGUACGUUUUGAUUAUAACAAUUCAAAACCAACCAAAUAUAUAGUUAGAAAUAUAGAUGAAACUACUGUGUGACAUAUUUUCUAGGCUUAUCAAAGUACCUAAUAAAAGAGAGACGAAAGAUACCAGAGGGACAGUCAAACUUUUCAAGGACAAUUUGACAUGAUAAUAAAACGUAUCAUUCAUGGUUAAAUUGCAUUCAUUGCUAUGUAACACUUUAGAUAUAAACCCGAAUUGAAAACGUAACCAGUCACUCAAGUGUAAAACGUAAGUCGUUGUGUGGACGCUCUUUAUUAUUCAAGAUGCAUCCCAUCAAUGUCUUUUCAUUGACAAGUUACAUGUAUGUAAUGUAUUAUAUAUUUAUUACGUACACAUGCAUGAUAGUAAUCCUUAAGAAUGUCGAUUGAUUGUUGUUUGCUUGCUGUUCAGCGACAUAUAUUUCAUGAAUUUCUGGACAAAAACAAUAUGAAUAUAUCAUUUAUUAUAAUUCGGUAAAGUCUGCCAAUAACGUUCAACGAGCGAGAUAACAGGAAUCUGCCACAGAGAAACGAUGUUGGAUGAGCGUUUUUAUAACAAGAACUACGGAUACAUUAGACGAUAUUUGUGUUCAAUCAUAUAUAGCUUAUUGACAUAUUUUACGCACAUUAAUAAACUUUUACAGUAUGUUCGCUGAUUAUAUUUCAUGUACGUUUUUGGGUGGAGGAUGAGCUUAGGAAAAGUGCCGUAAUGCCUUCCUUGUAGAAGGGUUGACAAUUUUGGACGAGCCUUAGUUCCUAUAAAAAUGAGAUCGUGGUGAUAACACGUACAACUUAAUACUUUCAAUAUUCUGCUAA